rnacentral:tRNA from 1 species
GGGCCGUUAGCUCAGUUGGUAGAGCAGGGGACUUUUAAUCCCAAGGUCGUGGGUUCGACCCCCACACGGCCCA